ACCUUGAGGGAAAGUUCAAAGAGGACAAUAUUUGCUAGCGGUGGGCUUGGACGGUUACAAAAAUAGAAUUUAUACGGUCACACCCUCGCAAGGAAGACAAAGACAAGCUGAGUAAUACACUUUCUAGUUUCUAUUAAUGGUUCUCAUCUAUCAUGCCAAAUACUAAAUAUUGGGAAAUUUUGUUAGCAUAAUAAGAUGAUUCUUUCAAUUGCUUAAUGUUUUUUCACCACAUGCUACAUUUUGUUUCAUUCUUAUUACAAACUCUCAGCUCUUAUUCAGAUCACGAAACUGGAAAGAUACGAGAUGAUGCAAGUGCGAACGAGCUGAUGAUGAUCCGUGAUGAGAUGAUGAAUGCAACUAAAAGACUCGGCUGAACGAUGUCGUAAUCCUGGUAAGAUUAAAAAAUGAUCUCUGUGCUAACUUUUAAUGGCAGGGGUAGAGGUUCUUCGAGGUGUAUGGUGAUAUAAUUGUGUGCUACACUCCAUGAGAUUGGUAUUAGCCUUUUGCAGUUCCUUUAGCUUUUGCCUCAACUGAAACCUUGGUCGAGAGGGAAUUUCCCGUUUAGACUGAGAAUGAGGAAGGGAAUCAAGACUAUGUAACAUUUGAAUUUUUAAAAAUUACUUUCGUAGAACCUUGUGUGCGGGAAUCUCUGUCCUGGUUCUCAUAAAUAUAAAUUGAGAAUUUUUUA